GCCGGGGGCGGUGGCGCAUGCCUGUAGUCCCAGCUACUCGGGAGGCUGAGGUGGGAAGAUGGCUUGAGCCCAGGAGUUCUGGGCUGUAGUGUGCUAUGCCAAUCGGAUGUCCGCACUAAGUUCGUCAUCAAUAUGGUGACCUCCCGGGAACCGGGGACCACCAGGUUGCCUAAGAAGGGGUGAACCGGCCCAGGUCGGAAAAGGAGCAGGUCAAAACUCCCGUGCUAAUCAGUAGUGGGAUUGCACCUGUGAAUAGCCACUGCACUCCAGCCUGGGCUGGAGAACGAGAACGAGACCCCAUCUCUU
rnacentral:SRP_RNA from 1 species